UACAGAGGUCUCAAGCGUUGUUCGGAUUCAUUGGGCGUAAAGGGUGCGUAGGUGGCGCGCUAAGUCGGGUGUGAAAUCUCGGAGCUUAACUCCGAAAUUGCAUUCGAUACUGGCGUGCUUGAGGACUGGAGAGGAGACUGGAAUUCAUGGUGUAGCAGUGAAAUGCGUAGAGAUCAUGAGGAAGACCAGUGGCGAAAGGCGGGUCUCUGGACAGUUCCUGACACUGAGGCACGAAGGCCAGGGGAGCAAACGGG
rnacentral:rRNA from 1 species